rnacentral:rRNA from 1 species
CAAUAGCGUAUAUUAAUGUUGUUGCAGUUAAAAGCUCGUAGUUGGAUUUCUGGUGGGAGUGGCCGGUCCGCCGUAAGGUGUGUACUUGGUUGUCUCCCGUCAUCCUUGUGGGAACUGCUCUGGCAUUAAGUUGUCGGGUUAGGGAACACAUCGUUUACUGUGAAAAAUUAGAGUGUUUAAAGCAGGCUUAUGCCGUUGAAUACAUUAGCAUGGAAUAACACUACAGGACUCCUGUCCUAUUUCGUUGGUCUCGGGACGGGAGUAAUGAUUAAGAGGAACAGUUGGGGGCAUUCGUAUUUCAUUGUCAGAGGUGAAAUUCUUGGAUUUAUGAAAGACGAACUUCUGCGAAAGCAUUUGCCAAGGAUGUUUUCAUUAAUCAAGAACGAAAGUUGGGGGCUCGAAGAUGAUCAGAUACCA